UAUUUUAAAGAGAGUUUGAUCCUGGCUCAGGACGAACGCUGGCGGCGUGCCUAAUACAUGCAAGUCGAACGAACGGAGGAAGAGCUUGCUCUUCCAAAGUUAGUGGCGGACGGGUGAGUAACACGUGGGCAACCUGCCUGUAAGUUGGGGAUAACUCCGGGAAACCGGGGCUAAUACCGAAUGAUAAAGUGUGGCGCAUGCCACGCUUUUGAAAGAUGGUUUCGGCUAUCGCUUACAGAUGGGCCCGCGGUGCAUUAGCUAG
rnacentral:rRNA from 1 species